ensembl:snRNA U2 U2 spliceosomal RNA
AUUGCUUCUUGGUCUUUCGGCUAAGAUCAAGUGUAGUAUUUGUUCUUAGCAGUUUAAAAGGAGAAUGUACAUUUUUGUUUUCUGCUUGCUCACUACAUGCAUGUGAAAGUGGAGUUAUUUGUUCUGGAUAUUCCAAAACGAUAGGAACUAACUCAGGGAAGCAUCUUGUACCAACUCCUAUUAUAUUUCAGUAUCACGUUAAGUAAUGGGAAGAGC